UACGAAGGGGGCUAGCGUUGCUCGGAAUCACUGGGCGUAAAGGGUGCGUAGGCGGGGCUUUAAGUCAGGGGUGAAAUCCUGGAGCUCAACUCCAGAACUGCCUUUGAUACUGAGGAUCUUGAGUUCGGGAGAGGUGAGUGGAACUGCGAGUGUAGAGGUGAAAUUCGUAGAUAUUCGCAAGAACACCAGAGGCGAAGGCGGCUCACUGGCCCGAUACUGACGCUGAGGCACGAAAGCGUGGGGAGCAAACAGG
rnacentral:rRNA from 1 species